rnacentral:rRNA from 1 species
GACGAACGCUGGCGGUGUGCCUAAUACAUGCAAGUAGAACGCAGUUGCGAACGGGUGAGUAACGCGUAGGUAACUGCCUCAUAGCGGGGGAUAACUAUUGGAAACGAUAGCUAAUACCGCAUACUGUGAGAUGGACCUGUGUUGUAUUAGCUAGUUGGUGAGGUAAAGGCUCACCAAGGCGACGAUACAUAGCCGACCUGAGAGGGUGAUCCGGCACACUUGGACUGGGACCAGGCCCCAAACCCUACGGGAGGCAACAGUAGGGGAUCGUCGGCAAUGGGCGGCAAUCUGACCGAGCAAAGCCGCGUGGGUUGAGAAGGUUUUCGGGUCGUAAAACUCUGUUGUUAGAGAAGCGUUAACUACCCAGAAAGUAACGGCUAACUACGUGCCAGCAGCCGCGGUAAUUC